rnacentral:rRNA from 1 species
AACGAACGCUGGCGGCAGGCCUAACACAUGCAAGUCGAGCGAGGUAGCAAUACCUAGCGGCGGACGGGUGAGUAACGCGUGGGAACGUACCCUUUGCUACGGAAUAGCCUCGGGAAACUGGGAGUAAUACCGUAUGUGCCCUUCGGGGAAAGAUUUAUCGGCAAAGGAUCGGCCCGCGUUGGAUUAGGUAGUUGGUGGGGUAAUGGCCUACCAAGCCUACGAUCCAUAGCUGGUUUGAGAGGAUGAUCAGCCACACUGGGACUGAGACACGGCCCAGACUCCUACGGGAGGCAGCAGUGGGGAAUCUUAGACAAUGGGCGCAAGCCUGAUCUAGCCAUGCCGCGUGAGUGACGAAGGCCUUAGGGUUGUAAAGCUCUUUCAGCUGGGAAGAUAAUGACGGUACCAGCAGAAGAAGCCCCGGCUAACUCCGUGCCAGCAGCCGCGGUAAAGUACAGUGU